UCCAGCUUGGAGUUGGCGGCCAAAAGGUUUUCCUGGGCUUGAUCCAGGUCGUUCUCCAACUGCUGCAUCUUUUUCUGGAGAGCGCGUACCUCUUCCUCUGACUGGAUAAUUCAUUUUCCGUUAAUUGAGAAAAAAGAACAUGGAUUUUGUUCGAAUCGAACCUUUUCAGCGCGGAGGUUGGCAUCUCGCGAUUGUUGUUCGCAAGUAUCGGCGCGAUCCAUCGCGUUAUCCUUCUCGGCUUUCAUCGCCUGCAUUUUCUUCUUGAUGGCGUCCAUUUCUGCUGGAUUUGGUUUGGCGACUUACGUAGAAAUUCAAAAACUAAUUGAAUUUGUUUUUUUUCCAAUCACGGGAGAAAUAUGUAAACAAAACAAAAAAAUCUGUUUAGCAUUUACAGCAUCACAUUUUUAAUGGCGGAAAAAUGCGGGAGUCGUUUCAGAUGGAGGUACCAGGGGAUGAGACAUCACAUAGACGGAUCUUAACAAAUGUAGAGCAUCAACGCAACGAUAUUUCCGACCUCCAGCUGAGUAUUGCUCAGCUGUGUGUGUGUGUGUGUGUGUGUGUGUGCGUUGGCUAUUCUUAACCCGCCCCUAUCUAGCUCGGAAUUCUUUCACUCUGCCGCGUAAUGUCGAAACGCCUCCCAAACCCCCUUCACAUUCAUUAUAAACGUGAAUACAACAUCAAAAGGUUAAAUGAAUAUCGUUGAAACAAAGUGUCAGCUUCAAAUGAAACAAAAAGGGCAUAAUAAAUACAAAUACAGUAAGUCCCCGACAUAGAUUCGUAUCGUUGUAUACGUUAACUAACUGAGUCAACCUGAUUCCAGGAGACGGACAGGGACAGACGAAAGCGAGUUGCAAUGGCCCGCGGGACAGACUGUCUCUUUCUACAGCGCCAAAUAUGGCAAACGAAACGGCGCUGCGUUUCGGAUCGUUUGUUUUGGUUUUUCUCGAACGUGAAUAGAUUCGAGACUACUAUCUUCUGACAAGGUCAAGUCCAACUUCAUUAUGAAAUCUCUCCACUAUCGUCACAGCUAGACCUUAGCAUUACCUUAACCGGAAAGUUUCACUAAGCAAUCCGAAUGUGUGUGUGUGUGUGUUAUAGUCGGACGACACUGGUUUCAAGAAAUCACUUUUUUGUUUGUUUUUGCUUUGUAGCCGAAGAUGAACCCAUUGGUUAGAACGAAGACGAGUGUUUAGUAUUGGGGAAAUGUGUUUGGGAAUAACAGAAGUUGAGAGGCAAUGUUACAAAAGUGAGAAUUAAGAACAGAGAGAGAGAGAGAGGAUCGGAUAAAAACAAUCAGUUUAAAAUGCAAACUCACCUCGGAAGUUGAGUGAGGAGCGAGAAACCCGUCAGGCUGUUACGGCGACUGAAGAGCAACUGUUCUAGCUUCGACGUUCUAGCCGACUACCCAAUAACUCGGAGCCAACUGUGGAGUGUACACCCGGGUAGCUUCUAUAGCCAGUUUUUUAUUUUGCUCUCCCUUACUCCCUCCCGAGAAAAUACCCACCUCCUUCUCUCCCGUCCUUGCAAUGAAGAACCCGUUUUUUUUCGGAUCCCGCCCGUAGAAAGCCCGCCUACACGUUUUCACUCUCACUCUUUUUCCUACCCAUUCCUUCUUUGCUCUCAACCUCUCAAUCCAUUAAAAGAAACACUUUUUUUAUUUCCACACUCGACAUAUUGAACUAAAAUAUUAGGAUGAAUCCGCGUGAACACGCUCGGAGGUUGCGGUCCGUGAUUGCGUGGUUUGUUCUUUGAAAGAAAGUCACUGUUUUGUCCGGUUUGUAAAUUUCGUGUUCCCUUUUUUUUUGUUUCUACAUCCAAGUAUAUAAUUAGGUUUUUUGCCCCUCAGAGUACCAACGGAACUGUUUAUUUUAUUGAAAUGCAUCAUUUAGUUUUAAACGCAAUAACCGCAGCCCGAAUGAUUGAGCACUUUGAGUAAAAAGUGUCCUCAAUCAGACGGUACGUGAAAAUGAAAAAGAAAGUGAAAAUGAUUGCAAGUACUAGGGACGAACAGAAAAAGCGACAUGGAAUUCCAUAUUCCAAAUGGGUGAGAAUUUAUUCAUACCGCAAGCUGCUCCCGACUGCUAAUGGUUAUGACGUAACUGGUGGAAGAUUACAUCGUCGUUUGAAGUCGAGAUAACCUUUUUUUGAUGACACUUGACUUUCUUUUCUCUUGUACGGUAUUUCAACGUUAGAACUGUAUGAUACAAACCUAAUCUACCAUAAAACUUAAAGGCAUCUAGUUAGGUUAAGCGAUGCCGGAGCAAACGGGGAGUACGCUACGACGUCGAAACCUUCGCGCUGAUUCCAAGAUUAAAUUCGUGAUAGUGUCAGGUAUUUACCAAAGUAAUGUGAGGCAUAUUCAGAUUUUGCAUUACCUUUGUUUGAAGUCGUCAUCAAUGAAACAAUAGAUUCAUUAACCUUGUACCUGCAGAAUACGCAGCACACGAGCUCGAGCUCGUGCUGGAUUCCAAAAGAUGACGGGAGUCACGAUUUUUCUGACUGUUUUUUUUUUCUUUUCUCCCUCACAUCUACGAGGUCGCUGACAAUCCGACGACUUGGCCGAUCAACGGGAUCGUACAACGGAGAACAGAAUAAGAGGCAGAGAAAUGGACGUUAUAGUCAAAUUCUUGAAAAGGGAAAAUCGAUACGACCUUGCCGAUCCUUGCCACUGGGCAUUUUAACACAGUGUUUCCUUCCAUCGGAGAUCUACACGUCGUCGUGUCCCGGGCACAUAAUACCUCAAUAGCAGAUUUUCGCUGAUCUCGGCAAACUACAAGCGCCACUACCGCUGCUACGGGACAUGCAUGUAUGCGCGGGUGCGCUCACGCACCAAAAAUGGACCGGGAUGUCGAGUCCAUUCCUUCGCCAUCAGUUCGGGACUCCCGAGAAACAAGAGACCUGACAAAAAAAAGAGUGACGACGUCGAUUGGCGUCGGUUGCAGACCGAUCUGAUGGAAUGUAUCGUUCGCAUUUAUCCGCAUAAACAAGAAACAUUCUUUCAUUCGUGUCUUGUGUCUGUAGGCCACGGUCGUACUGUGGAGACCCGCAGUAGUCGUACGAAACGAAAACGGAAAGGGAUUCGGAUAUUUCUCUCUCUGGGUCCCAGAAAUAGGUCGGGCUCAAUGCGCGCGCGCCAACCGGCCAUGCCACGAAGCCGUAUUGGUUUACCCUAAACAAGACGAAAUCCCCAUAUAAAUGAGGAGGCGGAGGAGGUGUGCAUGGGGUUCUCUCUUUCAUUCGACGUCGAUAACCAUGUAGGGAACACAAGAGAAAUGGAAAUCACACACAGAUGCAAAGAAAUCCCAGUCAAGGCAACGGCCAUGGAUUUUGCCCGGUUUGUCUUUUAUCUUGUACUUCGUUCAUCUCCCACUUUAGAAACGAAUUGCUGAAAGAAAUAAAAUGUUCAAACGGGGAA